rnacentral:rRNA from 1 species
CGCGCAGGUGGUUUCUUAAGUCUGAUGUGAAAGCCCACGGCUCAACCGUGGAGGGUCAUUGGAAACUGGGAGACUUGAGUGCAGAAGAGGAUAGUGGAAUUCCAAGUGUAGCGGUGAAAUGCGUAGAGAUUUGGAGGAAUACCAGUGGCGAAGGCGACUGUCUGGUCUGUAACUGACACUGAGGCGCGAAAGCGUGGGGAGCAAACA